rnacentral:lncRNA from 1 species
UGCUUUUUCAAUAUUCAGAUUUGUUUGUGAUUUUCUAAAUAAAAACGAAAAAUAAGAGUGGAGAGAUACGGGAUACCAAAGCAAGCUUCCAAAUCCGAGCAAAAUUUGUCCACUUUACUCCAUAAUUCCCGAAUAUUCCUCCUUGAAAUAAAAACAAAAAUAGUGAGAAACAAACUAAUCCGAAAGAUUAAAAAUAAAGGUGCGAAAAAUUAAUUUUAGUCCCCGGCAGCGGCGCCAAAAACUUGAUGUGCUAGAAAUAAUACCUUUAAAUCGCAAGCGCACGAUCACCGUUUUAAUAUUUAUGAUUCGAUCCACAGAGAUUAAAA